GACUCCAAGAGCUACGUUUCUACCGAUCGAUUUUCCGUUUCAUCCAACCGGUGAUUCUCACACUUUGGGUUCAAAGUACUUGGUCUACGAUCAUUCCUUGAGUUGGCCGUGCACCCUAGAGUAGGUGAUGAGGUACCCUUGGAGCAGGCGUGGGAGACUAAGGAAGAUCCAGCCCCUAGUACUUAGAGCGGUUAUUACUUCUUAUUUCUAUAGCUUGUUAAUUUUUGGAAACACUCUCUAGGCAUCCUUCGAUCUUUAAUUUAUUUUGUAUUUUGGAGAACUUUGGGGAACUUGUACUCAAGUUUUAUUUCGUUUUAAU